rnacentral:lncRNA from 1 species
AGGAGACACAGAAGAUGGAGGGAGGGAUGGCAGCCUACCCUGUGGCAACGCGGGAGUCGCGUUGCCGCAGGGGGCGCAUUGGGGUCCAGCCGUCCCCAGAACGCAGAUCAGAGGUAGUCGGACCUUUCCCGCUGGCGCGCAGCCUCAGCUAGGGUUUCCUAGACUAUCCAGGAAUUCCUGCCGACGUAGGCAGGUACCAGAGGCAACUGAACGCGUGAGACAUAGAGCAGAUGAGCUGAGAGGCAGCAAGAGAACUACGCAAGAAUCCGAUCACACCCUCCGCUUCUACGACGACCACCAACACCACCCAGAAGCCAACUUCCGAGAUGCCCCAAGCCAAGAUCAGGCAACACUCAGCUGAAUGUCAUCCCGUACCUCUUCGUCACAGCGGACCGCGGUCACGCUUAAAUGUGCAUUGAAGUGGAAGGUGAAUGUCUCUUUGCAUGGCAGUGUCUCUGCACACGGGAGAGGAGGGGCACACGUAUCCACCUGGCUCAAUAUCUAGCUGUAUUCAGGUGGAAUAGAGAACCAUGAACCCUCUGGACCUUUUCUGCUUUGGUCCUGUGCUUUUAACGUCUCAGGCCUAAGAGGCCCACCGAAUCCUUCUGCCUUGCUUCAGUACAUUUAAAAAGAAAAAAAAAGCAGGACAUUCCACCUGCCACCUCCAGAGGGUCCUCUAGGAUCCUUCUCCACUCCUGAAUUGAGCGAAGCGGUGCCGACCUCCACCCUUUGGGCACGAGCCCCUGUGCACUUGGGAGACUCCUGAACACCCUCGGAGAAGCCAGAAAGCCCCGGGAGAUGGCUCCGUCUGCUGCUGUACCAGACCGGGUCCUGCAAAGGAUGCAUCCUCCGAGCCUCCUCCCUGAACGUCCAGUGGGGCCUGCCCCGAUUCUACCUGAGGGACCCACUGGAGGAGAGGCACGGGGAUGCUGCCUGAGCAGCGGACCCUUCUGGCGCGGAGCAGGCUGUCCCCAGGCAGAGUCCGACGGGUCCUUCCUUCUGGGUGCCCCCGGCUUCCCGGACUCCAGCAGGCCUGGGAAGGCCCCGGGCCCCCUUAGCCGAUGCCCAGAGAGUCUCCAUUUCUCAAGCUUUGCCACCGAACUCAUCGGUCGGUGCGCCUCUGAUCGCAGGGCAAGGGCCUGCGCACCCCCAAAGACAAGCGGGGUCCCCGGAAGGCCCCCAGGCAGAAAUGAGCACCACGGGGAACGGCCCGCCUCCAAGACAACCUCGGGGACAUGGACACAACAAGACAGGGUGGCAAGUCUCAACAAGGCGGGUGCGCGGCGUCUGAGGGUGGCCGGGCCGGGCCGGGCCGGGCCUGGCCUUGCGUCCACCUCGUCAAGAACCGUCUGGGUACGGGCCCCGCGGGAUGCCCCGCGGCCCACCUUCCUCCCUAGGACGCAAGGAGGAACGCCCCGGCGCCGGCCAGCAGCGG